rnacentral:misc_RNA from 1 species
GAUGAAGAACGUAGCGAAAUGCGAUAAGUAAUGCGAAUUGCAGAAUUUCCGUGAGUCAUCGAAUCUUUGAACGCACAUUGCGCCCACUGGUAUUCUGGCGGGCAUGCCUGUUCGAGCGUCAUUUCAACCCUCAGGCCCCCAGUGCCUGGUGUUGGGGAUCGGCCCAGCCUUCCUGUAAGGCCGCCGGCCCCGAAAUCUAGUGGCGGUCUCGCUGUAGUCCUCCUCUGCGUAGUAGCACAACCUCGCAGUUGGAACGCGGCGGUGGCCAUGCCGUUAAACACCCCACUUCUGAAAGUUGACCUCGGAUCAGGUAGGAAUACCCGCUGAACUUAAGCAUAUCAAUAAGCGGAGGA